rnacentral:rRNA from 1 species
UCUGGUGGCCAUAGCGGAGGGGAAACACACGUACCCAUCCCGAACACGACCGUGAAGACCUCCAGCGCCGAGAAUACUUGGGGCGCAAGCCCCUGGGAAGGUAGGACACCGCCAGGC